UAUUGAAACACUGGUUUUCGUACGAUCUCCGAAGUUAAGCAACGUCGAGUUUGGUCAGUACCUUGAUGAAUGACUGCUUGGGAAUAUCAGGUG